UAUACUUUUAGUUGUGUUUUGUUUGGUACCAUACUUUCAUGUUCACGUAUCCACCAAUAUGGACGAGUUGCCGGAACACUCCUUGAAUUGAACAUACCAGACGUACCAGCAGUUGAUGUUGAAAUGCACCAAAAAGUGGUACAACUAUGUCCAACAAUUGUGCAGCUGACAGAUAUUCACUAAAAAAUGUCCAAAUUUUGUUGCCAUUUUUAAUUCAACGUACUAAUUCUGUGUCCAUUCGUUGAAUGAAAUUUCCGUGAAUUGUAGACCCAGCAAUAAAUUUGUCAACCUAUUUUCGAGUCAUUCUACGAUAUCAUCAAGACAAGUUGCAUGGGUUCAUUAUCCAUGAAAAAGAACCAGAUGAAAAUUUACGUAUGACUUUGAUCAUCAACAGAUUAACUAAUGUUUGCAAUCCACUUUGUUUAAUAAAAAUAUGUCUUCGAAUAAUAAAACAUCGAGUGACUCUCAAUUUUACCUUUGUAAGGGACUAAAUACAAAAGAAAUGCUAUACGAAAUUCGAGUCCAAGCAGAAAGAUGUUGAGGUUUUAAUAAACAUGUCCGUUCGAUAGGUGUCUUAUCGAUUAUGAGAAAGCAAAAUCCAAGUCUUUUCAAAAUAACGAAUGUGUGACACAAAUUAUCAAUUCU